UACGAAGGGGGCUAGCGUUGUUCGGAUUCACUGGGCGUAAAGGGUGCGUAGGUGGCCAGGUAAGUUUGGUGUGAAAGCUCGGAGCUUAACUCCGAAAAGUCAUUGAAUACUAUCUGGCUGGAGGGUCGGAGGGGAGACUGGAAUUCUCGGUGUAGCAGUGAAAUGCGUAGAUAUCGAGAGGAACACCAGUGGCGAAGGCGAGUCUCUGGACGACACCUGACACUGAGGCACGAAAGCUAGGGGAGCAAACAGG
rnacentral:rRNA from 1 species